GAGAAGCUUGAGCUAUCCUCAGAUCUGAAGUUCUUGAGCAAAAUCCAAAUGGAGUGAUUCAAAGUUCCGCGGAUAGGUAUUCAAAAUAUCUACAACUUGGCUUUGGUCUCAUCCUCAUAUUCGUUACAGAUUCGCCCUGAUCAAGAUCUGGUCAGAUCUGACUUUGUCGAAUUAAACCAGAAGC